rnacentral:lncRNA from 1 species
GAUGUGUGUGUAGAUGGCUAUGUGAGCAAACAGAAUGGGAAUAUGGAUGUGAUAACAUGAUGGUAGCAGCUGAGUUCUGUUGAUGUUAUUCCAGUCCACAGAUACCUGCCAUUUUAAUGUGAAAAUAGUCAAUGUCAACAUCCUAAUUUUGGUUUGAAGACAAGCACAUGGAACAAUGUGCAGUAAACAGCUACAGGAAACACAAAGUCCAAACUGAUACUUGAAAUGAAGGUUAAGAAGGAAGAGGACAUUCGAAU